rfam:TPA: Bos taurus chromosome 11, whole genome shotgun sequence.
AGCUUUGCACAGUGGCAGUAUCAUAGCCAAUGGGGUUUAUCCAAAGCAUGAUUAUUGCUAACUGAAAACUUUAUCUGAUACACGUGCACAGAGUAAAUGCACAAUGGACAAAAAAGCA